GAUGAACGCUGGCGGCGUGCCUAAUACAUGCCAGUCGAGCGAACUUUUGGGAGCUUGCUCCCAAAAGUUAGCGGCGGACGGGUGAGUAACACGUGGGUAACCUGCCUGUAAGACUGGGAUAACUUCGGGAAACCGGAGCUAAUACCGGAUAACAUUGAAGACCCCAUGGCCUUCAAUUAAAAGGUGGCUUUUAGCUACCACUUACAGAUGGACCCGCGGCGCAUUAGCUAGUUGGUGAGGUAACGGCUCACCAAGGCGACGAUGCGUAGCCGACCUGAGAGGGUGAUCGGCCACACUGGGACUGAGACACGGCCCAGACUCCUACGGGAGGCAGCAGUAGGGAAUCUUCCGCAAUGGACGAAAGUCUGACGGAGCAACGCCGCGUGAGCGAAGAAGGCCUUCGGGUCGUAAAGCUCUGUUGUUAGGGAAGAACAAGUAUCGUUCGAAUAGGGCGGUACCUUGACGGUACCUAACCAGAAAGCCACGGCUAACUACGUG
rnacentral:rRNA from 1 species